GUUGGCGUCGCCUUCCGUCUGGAGCCGCGCGAAAUGGUGAAAACCUAGAUCGCGAGUCCCCGAUUCACUCCCCAAUCCCCGUCCGUCCUCUCCUCCCCAAUCCUUGUCUCUCCUCCUCCCCAACCGUGGCGGCGCGCGUGGAGGAGCGGAAAGGGACGGCGGUAACCCGUGCGGCGCCAGCGGUGGCGGACUCACCCUUCCCCGCGCGCGAGGAGAAGAGAUCGGGGAGGCGCGGGACAAGCACGAGGGAGGCACCGUCUGGAGCUUCUAGAGGAGACCGGAUAGAGGCAUUGGAGCUCGCGUCGCUGGAGACGGGGAGGUGCGGUGGAGCGCGUGCCUCUACUCCGUCGCGGUCGCGGUCGCCAACUCCGAGCUCGCCCACGUCGCCCUCGUCCCGCCGCUCGUCACCUCCAUGUUCUGGACAUGUCUCUCCCUUGUCGGCGCAGAUGCGGGUGGAAUAUUGGCGGCGGCUCAGGCCAAGGCAAGGAGAACCAAGAUCUAGGUCGGUGCGCUCUUUUUGCCCUCUCCUUCCUCUCGUCUCCCUCCUCCGGCCGAGAUCUGGGGCGGCACACAUCAUGGCCGGAGCAGUUCCUCACGUCCUCAGUCGCCCCUCCUCGAUGAUUGUUGCUUCAGGAGCUGCACUGAUCGACCUCUUUCUCCUCCUACUACCUGCUCGACAGUUGAAGCACGAACAUCUGGUACAGGAUGUCCGCCCAGGUGUUCGAUGAAAUUCCAAAAAGGUUUCGGGAGGAUUGAUCUCUGUAAGCUAUCAUCAGUAAUCACAUGCAAGCGUGCAUGCCCAAAAAGGAGAGAGAGCUAGCCUGCUAUAGUGUUAGACAUCUUCUGGAUAUAUAUAGCUGUCUUAAUGUAUCCAUGGAUUUUUGAACGCCUAUAUUUUUCAGAAUGGUAACAAGGCCUUUUGAAGUUUUUAGUCUGGAUUGGCUGCAUGCAUUCUGAAGACUCAGGGAAACACGAAGGAGCACUGCCAAAUGGAUGAUUUUUCUUGGGACUCUUGUGCGGUUCAAACAGCUCUAAAAAUUGUACCUAUUUAGUAAGUCCUAAAGAGAAUAUUCUUUCGAGGUGUUUAUUCUUAUUGUCGUGUGAAAAUUGGAUCGUGUGGUGCAUAUUUCAAAGAAAUAGAGGUUCUGCUCGACAAGAUCUUGAUGCUCAAGCUGGAAAGUGGUUCAUAUUACAACCAGAUCAUACUGAAGUUCAGGAAGUGGCUGCAUGAGGUGUGUUGUGUUCUUGUUUUCCCUGGGAGCAGAACAUGACCGCGUGUGUCAUUGGGUGAUCCAAUCUGGUCAAGAUCUCUGUGCAGCUUGGUAAUUCAGGUACCGAAGCUUUGGGACAUUCACUGCGAUGAGAUGGCUUAUUAUGUGAGAACUCUCUACUCAUUUGCCUUUUAUUCUUGGUAUGCUCUGUUUGUUUUGGCCCACGCGGUGGUUGAAUGGAACAUUGAGGACUUUUGGAGGGUGGCCAGUAGGAUGAGCUAGAUCUUUUCUUCAGAGCAAAGGCAAGUUCUAUGGUUGAGAAAGAGAUUCAAUAUUUUUGUGUGGCCAUGGGCCAUGAAAAUGAAUCUUUUGAGGAUUUCGUGAAGUCGCAUGAUGCGUACCAAGAGUACCUUAUGUUUUCCCGAUGAAUAAUGGUCUUGCCAGUGUUGCUGGAAAUGUUGAUAAAUUAUCUUCUUUGCAAAAAAGAGUUUGAAAUUGUGAAGAUAAUGGAUGAUGAAGCAAAGAAAGCUUCUUUGAUACCAGGUUGGGCUACUGGAGUCACUAAAUCUUGCCAUGGUCGCUCCCAGGCCAUUGAAAAUAUUGGCGAUGAGCUGCUGCUGCUGAUUCGUACGUGAUGUACCUCCUAGGAUGAGAAUGAAUCUACAUAGACCUGCAAGAUAUAGUGUCACAUGUUCACAGAAAGGGUACACAAUGAUUUCAUUUCUAUGGAUCUAAUUGUGCCUGGCAUAUUGGCCUUCUCAAGAGUUCCAUUUCUGCAUUUCCUCGCUGCUCUAUAUAGCUAUUAGCCUAUUAUCGCAAUAAAGGGGAUCACAUGUAUGUGCAUAUUAAUGCUGGAUCAGCUAAGUUGCGCAAGGGUGUGCCUCCUAAAGAUGCAUGCUGCAGGUAGUGCCAUGUGAUCCUAUCAAAUCUUCAUGCCUAUUGAGGUGUGAGAGAUUAUUGAAUUAAUGAAGUUCAAUAUAUGGAGGCCGCUUUCCAUUGUAAUGCUGGAUCAGCUAAGUUACAAAGGGCAUGCUUCAGGAGGGCAAGAUGUAUGCUGCAGGUAGUUCCAUGUGAUUCUAUUAAAUCUUCAUGCCUAUUGAGGUGUCGGAGAUUAUUGAAUUAAUGAUGUCCAAUAUAUGGAGGGUGCUUUCCAUUGUACCUUACUAUGAAAUUUAAGAACAUAUCUACUACUUGGUUCAUUGUAAUCUGGUACUUGGUAUUGUUUCCGCUUUAAAAUUUCAUUAUUGUUUGAUCAAAAUAUUCAGUCCGGUGCUAUUACUCUGGAUAUUUCUUCUGACAUUCCUGUAAAUAAUGAAAUGUACUUUUAUUUGCAUGAAAUACUCCUUAUGAUCCAUAAUAGGUAUUCGGUACAAACAUGUGCCUUGCUGCAUUCAGAUCUAUUGCCUUCAGCGCCUAUGAGCAUGUUCCCUUGAGCCCCAGGUCUAAGGAUUGUUUAUGGUGGUACCUAUAUGCUAAAUAAGCCAGAGUGUCAGGUAGUUCUUAUCCCUUAUGUGAUAAUCAUGCAUGCCAGUGUGGUGUUACAUCAGACGCUAAAACUGUUAAAUGCAAGAAGGUUGUUUGUCAUCCCUCUUUACUUGCCCAACAGGUAAGGAAGAUUGGAAAGUUGCAUUUUCAACUGCCAUUAUGAAGCCUUGUGAUAAGACAAGGCAUCGCUCCUGUCCCGGUCUUUGCUCCUUUUUCGAUAGGGUUUGAAGCUUCCUCUAGCUAAAUCCAUUCAUACUGGUCUUUUUCUGUUACAUAUGACACUGUGAGUGAUCAAAUGUUGUGGUCUUUUUGUCUGCAUCCAAAUAUAGCAGCACAAUAUACAUGUAAGUAAUGUAAUUGGCCAUGUUGCCAAGAAAAUUGGAACUACCAUAUUUUUUGCUAUCUCGAAUCAUGUGAUCCUUCUUA